rnacentral:tRNA from 1 species
GCCCUCGUGGUGUAGUGGUCAGCACGCUCGACGCGUAACCGAGAGGUCCGUGGUUCGAUUCCCGGCGAAGGCA